UGCGGGCGCCUGGCUCGGGUGCGGGGGCCUUGACUUGUUCGUGGGGGCUGCCGACUGCCCCCCCCCGUCCCAUCCUGCGCUCACCACCAGCCCGUGUCUGCCGCUGGCUCCCUGCAGAAGCAGAGAGAACAGAAGCCCAGAGAUCACAGCAGCCAUGGCCUCAGGGAUUCCUGUACGGGAAAUCCAAGAGGAAACCAACUGUCCCAUCUGCCUGGAAUAUCUGACGGACCCAGUCACCAUACACUGCGGGCACAACUUCUGCCGAGGCUGCAUCUCUCAGUACUGUGAGACAUGGGAAGAGCAGGACUCUGACCCCUUGUGCUGCCCCAGCUGCAGAGCCCGAAUCCGGAAAGGGGCUUUCCAGAGUAAUUAUCAGCUAGCAAAUAUAGUGGAAAAAAUCAAACAAAUGGAUUUCAAACAAGGAAAAGAGAAUCUGUGUGAGAGACACGGCAAAGCCUUGGAUCUGUUCUGUGAAGAGGACGGGGAAGCCGUGUGCGUGGUUUGUGAGAGAUCCCUGGAGCACAGAUCUCACACGGUGCUUCUCAUGGAUGAUGCUGCCCAGAAAUACAAGG